CCAUGAGUGAGUGUGACCAUAAAUGAGUUCCUAAGGGGCCAUUGUGACAAUAUCUAGGCUGAUGUUAGCAGAAUAUUUAAACCAGGACUGUCCUGCUGGCUCCAGGUUACAUGAUCCUUUUUAGAGCAAUGGAGUGUUGUUGGUUUUUUUUGUUGUGAGGAAGAUUGGCCUCUAGCUAACAUCUGUGUCAGUCUUCCUCCGUUUUAUGUGGGAUGCUACCACAGUGUGGCUGGAUGAGUGGUGCUAGGUCCGUGGCCAGGGUCCGAACCUGAGAACACUGGGCUGCCGAAGUGGAGUGCAAGAACUUAACCACUACAACACCAGGCUGGCUCCCAGUGGAGUGUUUAAAUUACACAUCCCAGCUGCUGCCAGGAUCCAAUUCAAGUCUAUCCUCUCCCUCCCUCGCAGGCAAAACUUCACUCAAUUCUUCCAAACCGAGGCGGUUCUCUGGUGGUACAGCUUGAUGCUCAAGAGCUCUGUGCAACAACUCACCUUCAGCACCCUUGGGGCAUGCUGGUCUCAGCAGCAAGUGGCGCACAACGUGAGGCACGAAGGAAGGGUCGCCAAAGAAUGACAGUGGAGUUUCAGCGGUGCGGAACCUGGAAGCGGUGUGAGGCCUCAGAAAAUUCCCCGUGUGGACAUCUUAAGCCAUAUCAUGAGCACCCCGCCAAGAAAACGUCGAUUCGCGUGGGACGUCGAACCACCGGUGAUGAGUUUUCAGGGUCUAAGCCUGAAGACUACCAAAACCACAUUCCUGCUGCCUCAGACGCAUCGUGCAUCAAUUCCAACCUGGGCACAAAUAGAUUGACUCAACAAACAGAGAGGGUGUUAGAACAAGAGAAGAAACCUGUCACUCCAUAUAACUUGGC
rnacentral:lncRNA from 1 species